rnacentral:rRNA from 1 species
GAUGAACGCUAGCUACAGGCUUAACACAUGCAAGUCGAGGGGAAACGACAUCGAAAGCUUGCUUUUGAUGGGCGUCGACCGGCGCACGGGUGAGUAACGCGUAUCCAACCUGCCCAUCACUUGGGAAUAACCUUGCGAAAGUAAGACUAAUACCCAAUGACAUCCCACGAAGACAUCUGAAUGGGAUUAAAGAUUUAUCGGUGAUGGAUGGGGAUGCGUCUGAUUAGCUUGUUGGCGGGGUAACGGCCCACCAAGGCAACGAUCAGUAGGGGUUCUGAGAGGAAGGUCCCCCACAUUGGAACUGAGACACGGUCCAAACUCCUACGGGAGGCAGCAGUGAGGAAUAUUGGUCAAUGGGCGAGAGCCUGAACCAGCCAAGUAGCGUGCAGGAUGACGGCCCUAUGGGUUGUAAACUGCUUUUAUAAGGGAAUAAAGUGGGUCUCGUGAGACUUUUUGCAUGUACCUUAUGAAUAAGGACCGGCUAAUUCCGUG